AGCCGGAAUCGCUAGUAAUCGCGGAUCAGAAUGCCGCGGUGAAUACGUUCCCGGGUCUUGUACACACCGCCCGUCACACCAUGGGAGCCGGUAAUGCCCGAAGUCUGUGGCCCAACCGAGAGGGGGGAGCAGCCGAAGGCAGGCCCGGUGACUGGGGUNAAGUCGUAACAAGGUACC
rnacentral:rRNA from 1 species